rnacentral:rRNA from 1 species
AGAGUUUGAUCAUGGCUCAGGAUGAACGCUAGCUACAGGCUUAACACAUGCAAGGUCAGGGGAAACGAUAUUGGAAGCUUGCUUCCGAUAGGCGUCGACCGGCGUACGGGUGAGUAACGCGUAUCCAACCUGCCCAUCACUUGGGGAUAACCUUGCGAAAGUAAGACUAAUACCCAAUGACGUCUCUAGAAGACAUCUGAAAGAGAUUAAAGAUUUAUUGGUGAUGGAUGGGGAUGCGUCUGAUUAGCUUGUUGGCGGGGUAACGGCCCACCAAGGCAACGAUCAGUAGGGGUUCUGAGAGGAAGGUCCCCCACAUUGGAACUGAGACACGGUCCAAACUCCUACGGGAGGCAGCA